rnacentral:rRNA from 1 species
GACGAACGCUGGCGGCGCGCUUAACACAUGCAAGUCGAGCGAGAACCAGGGCUUCGGCCCUGGGGACAGCGGCGAACGGGUGAGUAACACGUGGGUAAUCUGCCCUCGGCACCGGAAUAGCCCGGGGAAACCCGGAUUAAUGCCGGAUGGCCCCUUCACCUCGCGAGGUGUCGGGAAAAGGUAGCUUCGGCCUCUGGCCGAGGAUGAGCCCGCGGCGGAUUAGCUUGUUGGCGGGGUAACGGCCCACCAAGGCGACGAUCCGUAGCUGGUCUGAGAGGACGAUCAGCCACACUGGGACUGAGACACGGCCCAGACUCCUACGGGAGGCAGGAGUGGGGAAUCUUGCGCAAUGGGCGAAAGCCUGACGCAGCGACGCCGCGUGAGGGAAGAAGGCCUUCGGGUUGUAAACCUCUUUCAGGAGGGACGAAGCUACUCGGGUGAAUAGCCCAGAGGGUGACGGUACCUCCAGAAGAAGCCCCGGCUAACUACGUGCCAGCAGCCGCGGUAAAAC